AUGGCGCAGCCGACAGUGGUGGAUGUGAACCCGCCGCGCGGCACCAGGGACUUCCCGCCGGAGGAGAUGCGGCUCCGCUCCUGGCUCUUCGACAACUUCAGGGAGGUGUCCCGCUCCAUGGCCUUCGAGGAGGUGGACUUCCCCGUGCUCGAGUCCGAGGCGCUCUUCAUCCGCAAGGCCGGGGAGGAGAUCACGCAGCAGCUCUACAACUUCGAGGACAAGGGCGGCCGCCGCGUCGUGCUCAGGCCAGAGAUCACGCCUUCCCUCGCGCGCCUUGUCAUCAAGCAAGGAAAGUCAGUCUCCCUCCCACUCAAGUGGUUCACCAUAGGACAAUGCUGGCGAUACGAGCGUAUGACAAGGGGAAGGCGCCGCGAGCAUUAUCAGUGGAACAUGGACAUUUUUGGUAUGCCUAAAGUCCGGGCUGAGGCUGAGCUCAUUCAAGCCAUCGUUCUCUUGUUCGAGCGUCUUGGGAUUACAUCUUCUGAUGUGGGGAUCAGACUGUCCAGCCGAAAGGUUCUACAGGCCGUGUUGGAUAUGUACUCCGUACCACAACACUUGUUUACUCAAGUUUGUGUUAUUGUUGACAAGCUGGGGAAACUGAGUAGGGAAGAAAUUGAGAAGGAAUUGAUUUCAACUGGGCUGUCAUCUGAAGCAGUACAGGGCAUCAUUGAAGUGCUCUCUCUCAAGUCACUGUCCAAACUUGAAGAGGUGCUAGGCUCAGGUGUUGAAGCCGUUGCUGACUUGAAGAAGCUCUUCUCGCUUGCUGAGCAAUAUGGUUAUUCUGAUUGGAUCUGUUUCGAUGCAUCUGUUGUUCGUGGCCUUGCAUACUACACAGGGAUUGUUUUUGAGGCUUUUGAUAGGGAAGGGGAACUGAGAGCGAUUUGUGGUGGGGGGAGGUAUGACAGGCUACUGUCAACAUUUGGAACUGAAGAUGUACCAGCCUGUGGCUUUGGAUUUGGAGAUUGGAUUUUCUGGCAGCUGCUGAAAGAAAAGGGUCUUUUGCCUGACCUGCCACGUCAAAUAGAUGACAUUGUGUUCCCAUUGGACGAGGAGCUUGAGGGGCCAGCAUCUAGUGUUGCAUCCUGUCUGCGGAAGAAGGGCAGAUCUGUAGACCUUGUAGAAGACAAGCGUCUGAAAUGGGUGUUCAAACAUGCUGAGAGGAUAAACGCUAGCAGGCUGAUCUUGGUUGGGAAAUCCGAGUGGGAGCGAGGCAUGGUCCGUGUGAAGAUACUAUCAACCAGAGAAGAGUUCGAGGUCAAGGCGGGCGAAUUGCAGUAG
rnacentral:rRNA from 1 species